AACGUAGGUACCGAGCGUUAUCCGGAUUCACUGGGCGUAAAGCGCGUGCAGGUGGUAUGGUAAGUCGGGCAUGAAAACUCUUGGCUCAACUGAGAGACGCUGUCCGAUACUGCCGAACUUGAGGGUGUAAGAGGGAGGUGGAAUUCCGCAUGUAGUGGUGAAAUGCGUAGAUAUGCGGAGGAACACCAGUGGCGAAGGCGGCCUCCUGGUACACUCCUGACACUCAGACGCGAAAGCUAGGGGAGCGAACGGG
rnacentral:rRNA from 1 species